rnacentral:lncRNA from 1 species
GUGGGAAUGAAAGCAAGUAAACUAGAGUAGGAAAAGAACCGAUGGUGCACAUCUGUAACCCCAGCACACUUGAGGCUUGAGGCAGGAGGAUCACUGUGAGUUUGAAGCCAGCCUCGGCAGGGUUCAAGACCAGCCUGAACUACAUAGUGAGACCCUGUCUCCAAAAACAAAACAAAAACUGUUUGGUAGCUGACAACAACUACAGGGCCAUUUUUCCCCCUUUGUACUCCAUGCCAUAAGGUUUUUUGGGGAAAGUACCUUCAGAACUUUUUGGAUGUACGUGUAGUGCAUUCUUCAUUCACCUAAAAUUGCCCUUUCAUUCAGCUCUCAGGGAAAACUGAAAGAGAUGACUAAACUACUAGAUAAGAAGUAAGCGCGUGCACCAUCUGGCUCAGAAUUCUGAGGGCAGGAAUGCUAGAUUAAGGCAAUUUACUCUCCGAGACAAAAGUGCUGUGGUCAGGGGUGACAUCUCGCCCAUCCCCAAUUCUCAUUCUGAGUCAAGCCCUUGAAAGCAACAGAAAACAAUGAAUUACUGCACCGAUUCCUUCUGGAGGAAUCCUGUUCAAUUUUCUUUGUAACGUUCUAAAGCUAAGCCCUUGAAAGCAACAGAAAACAAUGAAUUACUGCACCGAUUCCUUCUGGAGGAAUCCUGUUCAAUUUUCUUUGUAACCUGUUCUAAAGCCAAAGAAUUGGCGGGGGGGGGGCUUUCACACUUUUAUUUUUCUGCUAUACUUUACUAUCAUUUGAAUUCUGAAAUAUUAAGAUAACGCCUUCAUGUUACUUAAUAAAAUAACAUGCAGGUAGGGGGGAAUCAAUGGCCAAACUAUCCAAGUGCAACAGGCUGAUAGAAAGGGGGCUCUCGGGAUCCUAACCCUGACUCCUCCCUCUUCCUGGCCAGGGUGGCUAUCGGAAGCGCCCAGGGGUGUGGAGAAGCCCGCUUCUCUCCAACCCUGCGGAUGAAGUCACAGGGGCCAGAAGAAAACGCUACCCAUGCCUAAUCCUCCCGCCAUGGCCCUCGCCCGCCAUCUCCCGAAUUAAGGUUUCAGAAAAAGCUUGCAAAGUAGACAGAAGCAAGGAUUAUUCUACCCAAUGCAGCUCCUGAAUCACAGCUUUAUGGAUGAAGUGGAAGAGGGUUGAAUUUCAUUGGCUGCAGGCAUCAAGUUAUUCUACUCCCAAGUCUUCAUUUGCAGUCCCACAAACCAACGAUUUCUUUUGUGUUUAACAACUUAACCUCGAGGCCCAGUGAGGAGCUGUGUGGUUAAGAAAGCCAGUAUUUUGAUUAAUUCAUUUCAUCAAAAUUGCAUGUUAACUGUAACUGUUUGAGAGACUGUGAGGAAGCACAAGAAAUAUGAUAUGACUCCUGUCUUAACGAGCUUCGAGUGGUUUUAUAAUGUUAGGUCAACAGCACAGGAAGCAACUAGAAUUGAUUGGGGGGGGGCA